rnacentral:rRNA from 1 species
UACGAGGGGUGCAAGCGUUGUUCGGAAUCACUGGGCGUAAAGCGUGUCUAGGCGGAUGGUAAAGUCUGAUGUGAAAGCCCCUGGCUCAACCAGGGAUGUGCAUUAGAUACUUGCCGUCUUGAGUUAUGGAGAGAUGGGCGGAAUUCCGAGUGUAGCAGUGAAAUGCGUAGAUAUUCGGAGGAACACCAGAGGCGAAGGCGGCUCAUUGGCCAUUAACUGACGCUAAAGCACGAAAGCGUGGGGAGCAAACAGG